UACGUAGGGGGCAAGCGUUGUCCGGAUUUAUUGGGCGUAAAGAGCGUGUAGGCGGUUUGGUAGGUCCGUUGUGAAAAACUCGAGGCUCAACCUCGAGACGCCGAUGGAAACCAUCAGACUAGAGUCCGGAAGAGGAGAGUGGGAAUUCCUGGUGUAGCGGUGAAAUGCGCAGAUAUCAGGAAGAACACCCGUGGCUAAGGCGGCUCUCUAGUACGGUACUGACGCUGAGACGCGAAAGCGUGGGGGAGCGAACAGG
rnacentral:rRNA from 1 species